rnacentral:sRNA from 1 species
CUAUUGCUGUAGAAAGAAACAAAUGAAAACAGGUUAAGGACCAAUGAAUCUGACUCUACCAAACUAUGGUAAUCUUCAACUCAUUGUUUUAUUGAUAUCAGACAUUGGUCUUUUGAUCUCAUACCUAAUUAAAUGGAGUCACUUACGGUAUCCACGAAACACAAUAUUCUGCUCACAGAUCUUGUGUAUAAUACUGCAUUAAAUUAAUUCAUCUUUAAUCAGCAUCCACCAUAACUUAUUUGUACUGGACACAGAAAUACCCUCAGAGAACGUAUUGGACACUUUUAUAGCAGUUUCACUCACACUAUAAGUGAAACUGCUAAAAAAAUGUACAAUGCAUUAUUAUACAGCCACUGAUGAAGGUUCAUGGUGUAAGGGGUAUAACUCUACAACAGCUCUAACAAUCUGCAAAGAUUAUAAAGGACCAUUCAGUUAUCACCACAUUUCAGAUUUUUUUUUAGUUUUUACACUGUCCCAAGGACUGACUAUUGUAUAUUGUACUUGUUUUGUGUGUUGAAAAUAAAUGUUACUCUAUUUUG